ACCUUAGAACACCCAAGCUGAACCCUAAUUGGACACACCCCAAAACCUAGCAGCCCCCCCUAAAGAAAAAGCAACAGUGGCAGGACCUUUUUCAGCCGAACUCCCUUCACCUAAAAUCGCCUCCGCCGCCCCAUCAUCUCCUUCACCAUAGAAAUAGCCAAAUAACCACCAAAACUCGCUGGCCACCCUCAUAAAACCCAAAAAGACUCCAAGCCAUCAGCAGCUUGGACACCACCCAACUCCACGCCGCCGACCAACCCACCAACCCUUCAGCCGUAACACCAACCUUCAGACACCCUAACGCCACUCCCCAUUUCGAACCAAAGAACCAGUAGCAUUUCCCAUCGACAUCUUCAAGGUGGACUCAAAUUAAAGACGAAUACAGAAAGUCUCGUUCCAGUACUUGAAAAGGAUACUAUAACUAUGGGGACUUCGCCAGGAAGUUUGGCUAGAAUUUUGAGUCGGUUCAAGAGAUUUGAGUUUUUCGGCGAGUGUCGAGGUCGCCGAAGGUUAUAGUAUGAGGUUUCCGGCAAAGGCUUCCGGUGGAUAGAUUGUUCGCGGUACCGUCGCUUAGCAUUUUUUCAAACUAUCAAACAAUCCAAUUUCAGAUUUAACGAGGUGUGCAUUCAUUUACCAGGACUCGAGCAUGACAGUUACCUCAGGACCAUUGCAUUCAGGAGCUGCUUAAGGAGCCUUUUUAUAUUAUGAGUCUGUUUUUAUGUUUGUCUUUCCCUUUGUAGUCAUGUCUGGUAGUUUUGAGUCUUUUAGGUGGUAUAAGAUUUUGUCAAGUCUUUUAUCAUCGCACUUUCCAUUUGUAUUUGAAAAAAAAUAGAAAUGAAAAAUUCAAAAUGAUUUUUAUUUUUAGUUUAUU